UACGGGGGGGGCAAGCGUUGUUCGGAAUUACUGGGCGUAAAGGGCUCGUAGGCGGCCAACUAAGUCAGACGUGAAAUCCCUCGGCUUAACCGGGGAACUGCAUCUGAUACUGGAUGGCUUGAGUUCGGGAGAGGGAUGCGGAAUUCCUGGUGUAGCGGUGAAAUGCGCAGAUAUCAGGAAGAACACCGAUGGCGAAAGCAGCUCUCUGGGACGGUACUGACGCUGAGGCGCGAAAGCGUGGGGAGCGAACAGG
rnacentral:rRNA from 1 species